rnacentral:lncRNA from 1 species
UUUAAAUUUUUUAUAAAAAAUAUUUUGAUGGGAAAAAAAUGAAGUCAUGUAAUAAUAAACAUUUCUAAUUGAUGUAAAUUUAGUUUUAUUAAAAUUGAAUUGUUUUCAACAUAGAUGAGUGAAAGAAGAUUAAAUCAUGAUAAUCAUUGGUUUAGGGUUUGGGUACAUAUGUUAUAAUAUUGUUGGUAUUUAGGGUUAGAUUCUGAAAUAUUAUCUUUUGUUUUUUUUUUUAAAUUUUUUUGGACUUACAUUUGUUUAGUGACUAUCUAAUAACUUGAUUUAAACACUAUCUAAGUAUCAUAAAAGUUUAAGGAAGUGUUUUUUUUUAGUUAUUUGAUUAUAGGGCCUCAAAUUUUUUUUGUUUAGUUAUUUGAUUAUAGGGCCUGGAAGACUCACCGAAGACUGACAUAUCCCACCUAAAUUUUAGUAGAAUUUAGGGUUUCCGCCUAAAUUUUAAAAGAAUUUAGGGUUCCCGCCUAAAUUUUAAAAGAAUUUAGGUUUCCCGCCUAAAUCGAAGUCUUUCAUAAGUCUUCUAAGGGAAGUUUUCUCAUGUAUUAGAUCUUAAAAGUAAUUAAUAAAUUUUAUAAAAAAAUAUUUUGAAAGAGAAAACAUCAAAAUCAUGUAUUAAUAAACAUUUCUAAAUGAUGGAAAUUUAGUUUUACUUAAAUUGAAUUAUUUUUAACAUAGAUGAAUGAAUGUAGAUUGAGUCAUGAUAGCCUUCGGUUUAGGGUUUGGUAACAAAUGUUAUAGUAUUAUUGGUAUUUUUAUGAUUAGAUUUUGAAAUAUUAUCAUUUUAAAUUUUUUUUAGUUUGACAUAUAUGUGU